AGGAAGGCGACUCUCUGGUCUGUAACUGACAGUGAGGCGAGAAAGCGUGGAGAGCACACAGGAUUAGAUACCUUGGUAGUCCACGCCGUAAACGAUGAGUGCUAAGUGUUAGAGGGUCUCCGCCCUUUAGUGCUGAAGUUAACGCAUUAAGCACUCCGCCUGGGGAGUACGGCCGCAAGGCUGAAACUCAAAGGAAUUGACGGGGGCCCGCACAAGCGGUGGAGCAUGUGGUUUAAUUCGAAGCAACGCGAAGAACCUUACCAGGUCUUGACAUCCUCUGAAAACCCUAGAGAUAGGGCUUCUCCUUCGGGAGCAGAGUGACAGGUGGUGCAUGGUUGUCGUCAGCUCGUGUCGUGAGAUGUUGGGUUAAGUCCCGCAACGAGCGCAACCCUUGAUCUUAGUUGCCAUCAUUAAGUUGGGCACUCUAAGGUGACUGCCGGUGACAAACCGGAGGAAGGUGGGGAUGACGUCAAAUCAUCAUGCCCCUUAUGACCUGGGCUACACACGUGCUACAAUGGACGGUACAAAGAGCUGCAAGACCGCGAGGUGGAGCUAAUCUCAUAAAACCGUUCUCAGUUCGGAUUGUAGGCUGCAC
rnacentral:rRNA from 1 species